AGCGAACGCUGGCGGCAGGCCUAACACAUGCAAGUCGAACGAACUCUUCGGAGUUAGUGGCGGACGGGUGAGUAACACGUGGGAACGUGCCUUUAGGUUCGGAAUAACUCAGGGAAACUUGUGCUAAUACCGAAUGUGCCCUUCGGGGGAAAGAUUUAUCGCCUUUAGAGCGGCCCGCGUCUGAUUAGCUAGUUGGUGAGGUAAAGGCUCACCAAGGCGACGAUCAGUAGCUGGUCUGAGAGGAUGAUCAGCCACAUUGGGACUGGGACACGGCCCAAACUCCUACGGGAGGCAGCAGUGGGGAAUCCUGCGCAAUGGGCGAAAGCCUGACGCAGCCAGGCCGCGUGAAUGAUGAAGGUCUUAGGAUUGUAAAAUUCUUUCACCGGGGACGAUAAUGACGGUACCCGGAGAAGAAGCCCCGGCUAACUUCGUG
rnacentral:rRNA from 1 species